rnacentral:tRNA from 1 species
GGGAUUGUGGCUCAGAGGUAGAGUGCUCGCCUAGCACGUGGGAGGCCCUGGGUUUGAUCCUCAGCACCA